UACGUAGGGUGCAAGCGUUGUCCGAAAUUAUUGGGCGUAAAGAGCUCGUAGGCGGUCUGUCGCGUCUGCUGUGAAAACUCAGGGCUUAACCCUGAGCUUGCAGUGGGUACGGGCAGACUAGAGUGCGGUAGGGGAGACUGGAAUUCCUGGUGUAGCGGUGAAAUGCGCAGAUAUCAGGAGGAACACCGAUGGCGAAGGCAGGUCUCUGGGCAUUAACUGACGCUGAGGAGCGAAAGCAUGGGGAGCGAACAGG
rnacentral:rRNA from 1 species